rnacentral:lncRNA from 1 species
AUAUUCAUAUUCCAAGCGUGUCGAGGUAAAGAGAUUCAACAAAAACAAGGAAAUGAUCAGUCACGCCGAAUCUUCCAACAUGAUUCGUCAGCCCCACUACACAGAUUACCAACAGAUGCCGAUAUAUUUAGGAUUUAUGCAACCAGUCCUGGUAGAUAAAUCUUAGUGCUUGUAUUUAUUGUGUCAUUUGUUUUGCAUUUUAAGUAAACUUUUUGAAACAC